ensembl:snoRNA
UGGUGGUGAUGUCUGAACUCACGAUGGUCUUCAGAUCCCUCAUGCCUGAGGGGCUGCUGACAACGCCACUGGCAACUGCUGAACCAGGAAG